rnacentral:rRNA from 1 species
GAUGAACGCUAGCGGCAGGCCUAACACAUGCAAGUCGAGGGAGAGGUUACCUUCGGGUAACCAAAACCGGCGCACGGGUGCGUAACGCGUAUACAAUCUGCCUUUCACAUAGGGAUAGCCCGAAGAAAUUUGGAUUAAUACCUAAUGGUAUAUAAGAGCGGCAUCGUUUUUAUAUUAAAGCUACGGUGGUGAAAGAUGAGUAUGCGUUCUAUUAGCUAGUUGGAGAGGUAACGGCUCCCCAAGGCGACGAUAGAUAGGGGUUCUGAGAGGGAUGUCCCCCACACUGGUACUGAGAUACGGACCAGACUCCUACGGGAGGCAGCAGUGAGGAAUAUUGGACAAUGGUCGGAAGACUGAUCCAGCCAUGCCGCGUGCAGGAGGAAGGUCCUAUGGAUUGUAAACUGCUUUUGUAAGGGAAGAAUAAGGAGUACGUGUACUUUGAUGACGGUACCUUACGAAUAAGCAUCGGCUAACUCCGUG